GAAGAUUACUUUGCAGAGAGAAGUUAGCAGAAGAACCUGAUUAAACCUCUCAGCAAGGGGAAAAUGCUCAUGCUGACUGUCAAAAUAAUCACGAGGCACGCGUACCCUUCUCUUCUCGGAAUAGUUUGCAGCUGACAAAAUCCCUUCUUGGUUUCCUGAAUCGUUGGCAGCUUUAAAUAGUGUGUAUAAAUGCAAAGGUGGCUAGCAGGGGCCAGUUUCAAACCAACUUUUAAAAAUGCUGCAGAAGAUCUCUGUGUUAUUAGUUAAUACUUGUCCUCUGCAUUUUCUCAUUUGUUUUCCAAGCGGCAGGAAUAGCUUCCUUGGGGCUGAAGAAGCUCAGCAAUGCAAGGUCCACAUCAGCUCUGCUUCAGAGCCCUAAGAUCACAGGGCUCACUGAUGGGAGGCAGUUAGGUACAGCAGUGGUAUUGAUGAGCUUCCUAGGAACUAGCUUGAACUAAUUGCAACUAUUGAACUACCUUGUGCAAAUUAUAUUGCAGAGGAUGCAGGAAGUAAUUGCAGUUUAAGGCAGGUGGUGAUGAUUAGAAGACGCCUACCAGCUUUCCCUCCCAAGGAUAAUCAGGCAGGCUGGAAAGGAAGGUGUUUCACAUGGAUGGUGCCUUUCAUAGAGCCUCUGCUUUAAUUAAUACUAUUUUGGUCUAUAUUUAUCUGCAUUGUAGCUCUUCAUAUGGGCAAAGGUAAUGAUAAUGUAACGCUUGCUAAUUUAGCAGCUUUAGUAUACCAGAUAUGUAAUUGAAGUAAGAGCAGCCAUGUCUCCAGAAGUUUCUUCUGCCUGUAGAACCAAAUGUUCACAAAAGAAAUUAUUUUUUCUCAUUUUCAUAUAGUAAUCAGGUAUAGGGCAGUGAAAUGGCUUGCUCAGGGCUGGAGUGUAGGUAUUGGCAGGGCAGUCAGGGGAACAGUUCAGUCCAGUGCAGUUUUUGUAUGGUAGCUGCUUCUCAAAAGAAAUGCGUUUACAAAAAUCAGAUUCUCUCUUAUAAUGAGAACAUUUGCUUUAAUACCAAAAUAGAUGGCAUUUUAUGUAAGCUGGACUUGAUUUUUGUGUCAUUCAUGAAGGUAAAAAGAACAAGCCCUUCAAGCAUUUUAAUUCUCAUGAAAUAACAUCCACCAUUAAUAUGAGCCAGAAAAUAACUGUCAGACCUUGCACGCCAUCCUAAAAUUAUUCCAGCACAUUGUUAGUUGUUUUGAGUUACAACUUGGUAUAAUUGUAGCAGCCAUUAUGAGGAGUUUUAUGUGCUUUUGGAAGUGUCAGUGCAGUAAAGACAGAACAGAUUUUUUGGGGCCAGCAGAGUCUUAAGUAACCUGUUCACCGUCACUGAGUCCUCAAAUUUAUAAAUAUUAGAAUAAGUUACCAGAAAGGACUCUCUCUUUUCUGUGGGAGUCACUGGGAGAAUAAAUAGAUUUUAGAAACAGGAAUCCAAGGAAAGUUAACAAAACAAAUUAUUAAAAAGGGCUGGAACAUUCUCUAGCCUAUCUGGGGAGCUUUUAUUCAAUAACUUCUAUGAAAUAAAAGACCCAUAAAUAGUAUUUUUAAACUACGUUGACUGAACCGAGAUGUUGAUCUGUAAGAAGUGCUUUCUUUUCUCAGUAGAUACAUAACCUAAAUUACACAAAAAUGUGUAUUGUAUGUAUGGUGAUGUGCAUAUAUCUUGAUACAUGCCUUCAAAUUUUGGUACCUUGAAGCAAAUCCUCUUGGCUGUUAUAUUUCAUUCCUUUUAUAAAAGGUGAGGCUUUAAUGCCUUUUCUUGCUGCAAAAAUGGGGGUUUUCAUAGCAUAACUCUUUUCAAGGGAAGCUUUUUAAGGUUGUAUGUUUUACUAGGCUUUGUAGUGGAGUUUCUUUAUUUGGCUACUAUCUGAUUUAUGCUUGUAAAUGUAAGGCAAGUGUUUUGUAUAGACAUAGCCAUUAAGGGGGAAAAAUCACGCCCAGGUUUUCUUACAAGGAUCUGCUUUCUUCUGUAGACAUUUGUGGAAAUACCUAACACUUCAAGUUUUAGAUGUUUAAUAGGUCACAUUACAUUUAUUGUUUCCAGUAAAAUAUUUUUAUUGUCCAAACCAAUGGCAAAUGUCUGCCACGUCCUCAGAAAGCCGAAGUGUUAGGAAACCAAACCCCGGUCUACAAGGGGCCUUUUUCUGAUUUGGGAUCAGUCCAUAAAUCCAUGUAACUAAUAAAGACCAUGGCUUAUACCCUUAA